UGAUUGUGUGCUUAAAUAUGGUAUUUGUACCAUAUUUAUUCACAUACUAGAAACUAUCCCCACUGGCUAAAUAGCUAUGGGGAGAAUACAAUUUGUUUAUAUCGUUACAUCAAUGUAUUUUUAGUUGUGUGCUUCCUGUAUCUGAUAUUAUAUGUAAAUUAAUUGAUGUACAAAAUCUGAUGACCUUUCAAGCAUUGUAUAGAUUUUGCCACUUGCUUUACUCAAACUUGACUCGUACUUCUUUUUUCGGAAAUCAGUACGUUCCAAUAUGCAAGUAAAAUGUUAGUGUUUUUGAAAUAUCAAUUAUUGAAUUCUAUGGAACUAGUAUGAAUUUGUGAUCAGAUACGAACAUUCAACUUACUGUACUUUCCGUAAGUUAGUCACUUGCUUAUAUCACACCAAUGAUUCUCAUGUAUUGUUAAAUAUUUGCCAGAAAAUUUGUUAAAACUUGAAAACAUACUUCAAAGGAUUUUGAUGUGUAUGACCUGUCAUGUAUCGGAUACUUAAUUAGAGCGAUUGCAAAAGAUGCAUGUUUACAACUUUGAUUCAAGGACAUACCUGAAAAGUGUAUCACUGGAAAUAUCUAUUAACUGACAUUUGAUACAACAAAGUGCCGAUGAAUAAUGAAACUGAUCAACAAAAAAGAACCACAACAAAGUGCUAAUGAAUGUCAAGGAAAUAAAUAAAAACAUCAAAACUACACAAGCCAUUUGGAAAUACUUGGGUACUGGACAAUCAUUUCCUCCAUGUAACUACCACCAAUGAUCAGAUCCUUUGUACUGGCCACAGACCUAAAUCACUAUCAGGAAUAGAACAGACCAACCAAUAUGAAAACAAAACAAAACAAAACAGUAGUAUGUAGACAGAUUCCAGACACAGACAACAGUUUUCUAAGACGUACAUCCCUACUUACAAUCCACAUGAAAUCACUCUUGGAGUCAUCCAAUAUUUAACCAGUUGUGUUCUGCAAGACCAAACAAGUCUUUGUGUCGGUUUCAAUUCAUCUCUAAUUGUACAAUGCAAACAUUACU